CUAGCUGUAAACGAUGGAUACUAGGCGUUGAGAGUAUCGACCCUCUCAGUGUCGUAGCUAACGCGUUAAGUAUCCCGCCUGGGGAGUACGCGCGCAAGCGUGAAACUCAAAGGAAUUGACGGGGGCCCGCACAAGCGGUGGAGUAUGUGGUUUAAUUCGAUGCAACGCGAAGAACCUUACCAGGGCUUGACAUGUCCGGAACCCUGUCCAAAGGCGGGGGUGCCUACGGGAACCGGAACACAGGUGGUGC
rnacentral:rRNA from 1 species